rnacentral:lncRNA from 1 species
UUCUUCAUGGAUAUUUAAGCGGUUUGAAAAGUUCUUUUUCAUAUAAUUGGUGAUUCUAGAGUGGCCGCUUUUAAGGGUUUGUGAAAUCGUCACCUGGGGUAGAGUAGGGGAUGGCGACAUCCAUGGGAAGGGCAUGGACAUGGAGACGAAUAUUAGGUGAGUUUUGAAGAGGUUAAGAAAGAGCUUAAUAUGGUUCCAUCGAUUCUUUAACAAUCUCUUGCUCGCCGGAUAUAUGAAAUAUGCUAAUGCGGCUGAAGCUUCUAUUAACGAACAAAUUGAGAUCUUCAUGCGGUGAUGAAUGAAGCUUUUGUCUACAAAUCUUCAUGUGGUGAAGGCGCUUUCCAGGGAUAUUGGCGAGGAAUGAUAAGAAUGGAAUGUUUAUUUCAUUUCAAGUUUUAUGUGAACAUUGUUAAAUAUUAUAUAAUUUACUUUGGGUAACCGGUGUAGUGACAAUAAACAAAAGUUAAGGGCAAUCACUUUCUAGAGUUGGUUUGUACUUGAAACAAUCCGUCUUCUCUCAUGGUCAAUUGUAUGU